rnacentral:rRNA from 1 species
GGUAAGUUCCGACCUGCACGAAUGGCGUAAUGAUGGCCAGGCUGUCUCCACCCGAGACUCAGUGAAAUUGAACUCGCUGUGAAGAUGCAGUGUACCCGCGGCAAGACGGAAAGACCCCGUGAACCUUUACUAUAGCUUGACACUGAACAUUGAGCCUUGAUGUGUAGGAUAGGUGGGAGGCUUUGAAGUGUGGACGCCAGUCUGCAUGGAGCCGACCUUGAAAUACCACCCUUUAAUGUUUGAUGUUCUAACGUGGACCCGUGAUCCGGGUUGCGGACAGUGUCUGGUGGGUAGUUUGACUGGGGCGGUCUCCUCCUAAAGAGUAACGGAGGAGCACGAAGGUUGGCUAAUCCUGGUCGGACAUCAGGAGGUUAGUGCAAUGGCAUAAGCCAGCUUGACUGCGAGCGUGACGGCGCGAGCAGGUGCGAAAGCAGGUCAUAGUGAUCCGGUGGUUCUGAAUGGAAGGGCCAUCGCUCAACGGAUAAAAGGUACUCCGGGGAUAACAGGCUGAUACCGCCCAAGAGUUCAUAUCGACGGCGGUGUUUGGCACCUCGAUGUCGGCUCAUCACAUCCUGGGGCUGAAGUAGGUCCCAAGGGUAUGGCUGUUCGCCAUUUAAAGUGGUACGCGAGCUGGGUUUAGAACGUCGUGAGACAGUUCGGUCCCUAUCUGCCGUGGGCGCUGGAGAACUGAGGGGGGCUGCUCCUAGUACGAGAGGACCGGAGUGGACGCAUCACUGGUGUUCGGGUUGUCAUGCCAAUGGCACUGCCCGGUAGCUAAAUGCGGAAGAGAUAAGUGCUGAAAGCAUCUAAGCACGAAACUUGCCCCGAGAUGAGUUCUCCCUGACCCUUUAAGGGUCCUGAAGGAACGUUGAAGACGACGACGUUGAUAGGCCGGGUGUGUAAGCGCAGCGAUGCGUUGAGCUAACCGGUACUAAUGAACCGUGAGGCUUAACCUUACAACGCCGAAGGUGUUU